rnacentral:misc_RNA from 1 species
UUGUUUUUCAUUUAAGAAUGGUUCAGAAGGUACACGGUUAAGCGGGUUUGUAAAAAUCCUCCGGGGGGCGCUCGCCAGCCAGGGCCGGAGGGCGCGAGGGCCUGGCCCCCCGAAGCAACGUUUAUACGGGUACACAUAGGGUGGGAGCAGGCGCCUGAGGGCGCCGACACUCGGUAAUGAUCCUUCCGCAGGUUCACCUACGGAAA